UACGUAGGGUGCGAGCGUUGUCCGGAAUUAUUGGGCGUAAAGAGCUUGUAGGCGGUUUGUCGCGUCUGCCGUGAAAAUUCGAGGCUCAACCUCGAACUUGCGGUGGGUACGGGCAGACUAGAGUGUGGUAGGGGAGAUUGGAAUUCCUGGUGUAGCGGUGGAAUGCGCAGAUAUCAGGAGGAACACCGAUGGCGAAGGCAGAUCUCUGGGCCGUAACUGACGCUGAGGAGCGAAAGCAUGGGGAGCGAACAGG
rnacentral:rRNA from 1 species